rnacentral:SRP_RNA from 1 species
GCUGGGUGUGGUGGUGCACACCUGUAAUCCCAGCUACUCGGGAGGCUGAGGCAGGAGAAUCACUUGAACCCAGGAGGCAGAGGUUGCAGUGAGCCAAGAUUGUGCCACUGCACUCUAGCCUGGGUGACAGAGUGAGACUCUGUCUCAG